rnacentral:rRNA from 1 species
GUUCCUGGGUCAAGCUGAUCUGCCCAGGGUAAGUCGGGACCUAAGGCGAGGCCGACAGGCGUAGUCGAUGGACAACCGGUUGAUAUUCCGGUACCCGCUUUGAAGCGUCAACGCUGAACCAGGCGAUGCUAAGUCCGUGAAGCCGCCCUGAUCUCUUCGGAGUUGAGGGGAGUGGUGGAGCCGACGGACCAGACUUGUAGUAGGUGAGUGAUGGGGUGACGCAGGAAGGUAGUCCAGCCCGGGCGGUGGUUGUCCCGGGGUAAGGGUGUAGCCCGAGGGGUAGGUAAAUCCGUCUCUCAUGAGGGUGAGACCUGAUGCCGAGCCGAUUGUGGUGAAGUGGAUGAUCCUAUGCGGUCGAGAAAAGCCUCUAGCGAGUUUCAUGGCGGCCCGUACC